UACGGAGGGGGCUAGCGUUGUUCGGAAUUACUGGGCGUAAAGCGCACGUAGGCGGCUUUGUAAGUUAGAGGUGAAAGCCCGGGGCUCAACUCCGGAAUUGCCUUUAAGACUGCAUCGCUAGAAUUGUGGAGAGGUGAGUGGAAUUCCGAGUGUAGAGGUGAAAUUCGUAGAUAUUCGGAAGAACACCAGUGGCGAAGGACGACUCAC
rnacentral:rRNA from 1 species